rnacentral:sRNA from 1 species
CUCGCCUGAAGGCGAAGGCUUGUGAAAGCCUUGGGUGACUAGCCUAAGUUUGCCGAAAGGCGAACUACGUUGGUUGAGAAUACAUAGGCACUGCAGGAUGUACAUCCUAGUCCUGCACUCUGC